CUAAGAUUAGGCAGUCCUAGCGACGAAAUAGCUUGUUGCACCGGGACUGCACGUUUACUGGGUCAAUCUAGACGUCAUGUGUCACGCACAUCGAGACUAACAUGCAUUACAUCAUAAUCUCGGCUAUUUUUAGAUUGUCGGCAUGACUUCGGAAGCUCUUCGUGUAUCUUCGGGAAUUUUCCGAGGUAUUUUGUUUUCAUUUUCCCAACAAAGACAAUAAUAGUACAAUUGAAAGGAUUUUGAUAACAAGUCCUCACCCAUCCUGCUUGAGGGAAAAAAUCCCUCUAAAAGAACUUACUCUAGUACGAAAACCUGGAAGAAGACAGCACUUUCUCUGCAAUAAACAAGUCAAAUGAUUCGAUGGAAGUCAAACCAGUCGAAACCGACGAAAGAAUGACGCAAAAUAUCAAGACUUAUGUCGAAGGGAGCGCCAAAAAAAGAAGAAAAAAAAAAAA